AGUCGGGAACCGAGAACCCAGAGAGAGCUUCAGCUACGAGGGCUGCAGGCAGAAGGAAGCGAUUCAUUCAUCCUGACCGAACCAGAUCAACAGGAGAAUCAGAGGAAGCAGAACCGGUUCUGAACGAAAAGGUCCAAAAUAACAAACUGGAGCUCAGGACCCACCUGUUCAUUUAACCCGACCAACAGAACCUCCUGCUCAGUCCAACAGAACCUCCUGCUCAGUCCAACAGAACCCGUCUCCAGUCCAACAGAACCUCCUGCUCAGUCCAACAGAACCCGUCUCCAGGUGGAUCUCAGGUUUUACCCGACGACACGCUGAGCAGAACCUUUGAGACAGUAAAAGUUGGACUUUGAUCGGUUCAGACUGAACUAACCGGACCAGGAGAAACAAAUAAGUUCCUGGUUAAACUCAGAAACUUUAAGAUCUGGUGGUUCUGUUGGGUCCAGAUCCAGUUGAAUCUUCUGGAGUUUUUCCAUAUUUAUAGUUUGAGGCAUCGUUCUCCAGCCUACAUCUGAAUUUAUUAAAAUAGAAACAAUGCACCAAGA